rnacentral:misc_RNA from 1 species
UGCAGACGUGUGUGCGUGUGAGUGGCGAUCGAGANGGUUGUGCUGUUUGGCUCCUUGCUCGUUGGUUUUGGAACUUCCAGCACGCAACCCUUUCUCAUGCAUGCCUUGCUCCGGUGGGCCUCGGUGUUCACUUGUGGUUCCUGUGUUGACUACCCAUUUACGGCAUUCUUGUGCUGCGAAGAUCGGUUCCUUCCACACCCCCUCGUGGAGGCUGAUGGGGGAUUUCUAAUUUGAUGCGUGUUUUGCGUUUGUUGUGCGUUGUAAUGGCUCACGUGGCCACACGUGUCUAUUGUUCCCUUGGAUGCGGUGCAUGCGGUGAAUGUGGGCUGGUGUUUGUGCCCCGUUUAGUCCCCUAUGAUGUAUCGGUUGCCUUUCAAAGACACUUUGCCGUAGUGCCGGUCUUGUUAUCCCAUUGGCGGUGGCAACACUUGCACAUC